UACGAAGGGGGCUAGCGUUGUUCGGAAUUACUGGGCGUAAAGGGCGCGUAGGCGGCUUCGAUAGUCGGGUGUGAAAUGCCUGGGCUCAACCCAGGAAUUGCACUCGAAACUCCGAGGCUUGAGUGUGGGAGAGGUUGGUGGAAUUCCCAGUGUAGAGGUGAAAUUCGUAGAUAUUGGGAAGAACACCGGUGGCGAAGGCGGCCAACUGGACCACAACUGACGCUGAGGCGCGAAAAGCGUGGGGGAGCAAACAGG
rnacentral:rRNA from 1 species